rnacentral:lncRNA from 1 species
GAGACCUUCUGUAAAACGUAUCGAAAGAUCUGAGGCCUAGGACCAUCCGACCAGGGCUGAGUUUACUGAACUCUUUCAAGCUAUCCAAGGAUUGACUGAAGCUGUGGGACAGAACUAAGCUAACCCUUGUCAACAUCCUACCCCGAAAUACUGAACAAUUGAAAGGUCUAUCCCUCACAACAUGGUAGAGUUUAUAAAACUUAACUGCCACACUUUGAAGGUGGCCCUGACCCCUUAAUAGCCAAAGCCUGGAUCC